AUUUGCCUGGAAUGUUCGGCAAUUCUGUUAAUUUUGAACCUACAUUUGUUUAAACGGGAUUCCUAUAUUGCCAGUUGGAUGUCAGGCCUCCUUUUGAGUGGAAGGCAGAAGACUUGGUUGCGGUUGCCCACCUAGCCACGCUAGGACUCAAAACACAGAAUCGGCAUUUCGGGUUAUCU
rnacentral:other from 1 species